rnacentral:rRNA from 1 species
UACGGAGGGUGCGAGCGUUGUCCGGAAUCACUGGGCGUAAAGGGCGCGUAGGUGGCGCAGGAAGUCAACGGUGAAAGCCCCGGGCUUAACCUGGGAAUGGCCGUCGAAACUGGCGAACUGGAGUGUGGCAGAGGGGGGUGGAAUUCCGCGUGUAGCAGUGAAAUGCGUAGAGAUGCGGAGGAACACCGAUGGCGAAGGCAGCCCCCUGGGCUGACACUGACGCUCAGGCACGAAAGCGUGGGGAGCAAACAGG